AUUGAACGCUGGCGGCAUGCCUUACACAUGCAAGUCGAACGGUAACAGGUCUUCGGAUGCUGACGAGUGGCGAACGGGUGAGUAAUACAUCGGAACGUGCCUAGUAGUGGGGGAUAACUACUCGGAAGAGUGGCUAAUACCGCAUGAGAUCUACGGAUGAAAGCAGGGGAUCGCAAGACCUUGUGCUACUAGAGCGGCCGAUGGCGGAUUAGGUAGUUGGUGGGAUAAAAGCUUACCAAGCCGACGAUCUGUAGCUGGUCUGAGAGGACGAUCAGCCACACGGGGACUGAGACACGGCCCAGACUCCUACGGGAGGCAGCAGUGGGGAAUUUUGGACAAUGGGCGCAAGCCUGAUCCAGCAAUGCCGCGUGCAGGAUGAAGGCCUUCGGGUUGUAAACUGCUUUUGUACGGAACGAAAAGCCCUGGGUUAAUACCCUGGGGUCAUGACGGUACCGUAAGAAUAAGCACCGGCUAACUACGUGCCAGCAGCCGCGGUAAAAC
rnacentral:rRNA from 1 species